rnacentral:rRNA from 1 species
UACGUAGGGUGCAAGCGUUGUCCGGAAUUAUUGGGCGUAAAGAGCUCGUAGGCGGUUUGUCGCGUCUGCUGUGAAAACCCGAGGCUCAACCUCGGGCCUGCAGUGGGUACGGGCAGACUAGAGUGCGGUAGGGGAGAAUGGAACUCCUGGUGUAGCGGUGGAAUGCGCAGAUAUCAGGAAGAACACCGAUGGCGAAGGCAGUUCUCUGGGCCGUAACUGACGCUGAGGAGCGAAAGCGUGGGGAGCAAACAGG